rnacentral:lncRNA from 1 species
GGUGAGUUUUCGGGCAUUUUUAGUGGGUCGAAUUAGCGAUCAAAGGCGGACAGGGUAUAAUAAUAAUAAUUAAAGCCGCGAGCGGCGUCAUAGGUUCCGAUGUAGCGGCCGGGGGCGGUAACCCACGGUCACGUAUAGCACUGUUUUGGGAAUUGGCCUGAGCAAAUUUGGUGUAAAUUGGUGUAAAAACAACUGAGAUAUUGCAUUUACCAAGAAAUGGCAAAAGAUUUUCCUGUCAUGAUAGGCCCCUCCCACUUUUCACAGCCUGCUCUAUUUGCCAUAGCAAUGUGCUUCCAUCUAAUAAAAUUCAUCCUACAGUGUUUUGAAGUCAACACGACAUAUCGUCUGUCCGCUACAGCUGCUCGUGUAGGACGACCACAGAAGCGGCGCCCUCUGAGAACGCAAGGCAUUAUGGCAAUUUGCUCCCCUCUGUGUAGGUUCAUCCUACAGUGUUUUGAAGUCAACACGACAUAUCGUCUGUCCGCUACAGCUGCUCGUGUAGGACGACCACAGAAGCGGCGCCCUCUGAGAACGCAAGGCAUUGUGGGUAAAUUGGUCAUCGUUUGUUGUUUAGCUCUGGACAGUGAUCGUGUGUAUCAAAUAUGAAGCAGUUUGAACUUUGCAUUCUGGAGUUGCAAGCGUUUUCGUAUAACGGCGUAGUUAUGGCGAGGGAUUUUCCUGUGUCAUGAUAGGCCCCUCCCACUUUUCACAGCCUGCUCUAUUUGCCAUAGCAAUGUGCUUCCAUCUAAUAAGAUUCAUCCUACAGUGUUUUGAAGUCAACACGACAUAUCGUCUGUCCGCUACAGCUGCUCGUGUAGGACGACCACAGAAGCGGCGCCCUCUGAGAACGCAAGGCAUUAUGGGUAAAUUGGUUAUCGUUUGUUGUUUAGCUGUGGACAGUGAUCGUGUGUAUCAAAUAUGAAGCAGUUUGAACUUUGCACUCUAGAGUUAUAAGCGUUUUUGUAUAAUGGCGUAGUUAUGGCGAGGGAUUUUCAUGUGUCAUUAUAGGCCCCUCCCACUGGCCAUGAUGGGUAAUUUGGUCAUCGAGCGUUGUUUAUGGAUGGACAAUCAUCGUGUGUAUCAAAUAUGAAGCAGUUUGAACUUUGCAUUGAAGCGUUAUAAGCAUUUUCCUAUUAUAGCGUGCUGAUGGCGAAGGAUUCUCCCGUGUCAUUAUAGGCCCCUCCCACUUUUCACAGCCGGCUUUAUUUGCCAUAGCAAUGUGCUUCCAUCUGAUAAGAUUCAUCCUACAGUGUUUUGAAGUCAACACGACAUAUCGUCUGUCCGCUACAGCUGCUCGUGUAGGACGACCACAGAAGCGGCGCCCUCUGAGAACGCAAGGCAUUGUGGGUAAAUUGGUUAUCGUUUGUUGUUUAGCUGUGGACAGUGAUCGUGUUUAUGAAAUAUGAAGCAGUUUGAACUUUGCAUUCUAGAGUUAUAAGCUUUUUCCUAGAACGGCGUCCUGUAAAUGCUAACCGUGUACAUGACCUUAAAUGACACCGGUCGAAAACACAAGGCAUGAUGGGAAAUGUUUCAAAGCAGUCAUGACCAAGCUUGGGCACAUGUCCUUUGUGUGAAAUUUGAAGCUGAUCGAAGUUUGUGUGUCAGA